GAUGAACGCUGGCGGCGUGCCUAAUACAUGCAAGUCGAGCGAACGGACGAGAAGCUUGCUUCUCUGAUGUUAGCGGCGGACGGGUGAUUAACACGUGGAUAACCUACUUAUAAGACUGGGAUAACUUCGGGAAACCGGAGCUAAUACCGGAUAAUAUUUUGAACCGCAUGGUUCAAAAGUGAAAGACGGUCUUGCUGUCACUUAUAGAUGGAUCCGCGCUGCAUUAGCUAGUUGGUAAGGUAACGGCUUACCAAGGCAACGAUGCAUAGCCGACCUGAGAGGGUGAUCGGCCACACUGGAACUGAGACACGGUCCAGACUCCUACGGGAGGCAGCAGUAGGGAAUCUUCCGCAAUGGGCGAAAGCCUGACGGAGCAACGCCGCGUGAGUGAUGAAGGUCUUCGGAUCGUAAAACUCUGUUAUUAGGGAAGAACAUAUGUGUAAGUAACUGUGCACAUCUUGACGGUACCUAAUCAGAAAGCCACGGCUAACUACGUG
rnacentral:rRNA from 1 species